rnacentral:rRNA from 1 species
UAGGGAAUCUUCGGCAAUGGGGGCAACCCCUGACCGAGCAACGCCGCGUGAGUGAAGAAGGUUUCGGAUCGUAAAGCUCUGUUGUAAGAGAAGAACGUGUGUGAGAGUGGAAAGUUCACACAGUGACGGUAACUUACCAGAAAGGGACGGCUAACUACGUGUCAG